CUCCCCCAGCCUCGCUGCCGCCUUACAGUUUGAUCUCAGACUGCUGUGCUAGCAAUCAGCGAGACUCCGUGGGCGUAGGACCCUCCGAGCCAGGUGCGGGAUAUAAUCUCGUGGUGCGCCAUUUUUUAAGCCGGUCGGAAAAGCGCAGUAUUCAAGUGGGAGUGACCCGAUUUUCCAGGAACCCAUCUUCCGCAAAGCCUACCUUCUGGAGAAAAGAUUUCAGGAAACAGCAAGAUUAUAGACUCCUGCGCAUUCUCAUCUGAGCUUUAUGGGAUGGGAGGGAUCACUGGAGCAUCCUAGAGAAGGCUUGGGCUGGUGCUCAGCAAAGUGGGAACUGCUUCACACUGGGGCCAUAAAACAAUGAAUAAUGGACAAGAAGAAGCCUGUAAUGUGAAGAUUUUAGGAAAUUCAGGAUCAAAUUUCUUUUGGUUUGCAGGUCUGCAGACCAGAGUCACCAAUGGGCCACUGGUUUACAGUCUCUGAUAAUGAGAGAUGGAACAGAAAAUUCCUCUAGGAAACUGAGAUGAGAUGUUAAUGAGCGCUAAGUUGAUCUCUGAGCUUCACCGCAGGCUGGGAAAAACCAUGACACAGGAGUUAUUUUUCAUGUUGCAGACUUGCUUCUUGUCAGAGGGAUCUUACAAAGAUGACCUUAGUGAUGAAGACAUUGUGAAUUAAAAUCAUUUGUUCUGAAAGGUGGGACCAAGAUGUAAGCUUCAGGAAACGUUGCCUCAUCUACUUUCAAGGUGGGGCUUUCUCAUUAAAGUGCCUAUACGAUGUUUCUCCUUCCCAG
rnacentral:lncRNA from 1 species